rnacentral:rRNA from 16 species
UCAAGUGAAGAAGCGCAUACGGUGGAUGCCUUGGCAGUCAGAGGCGAUGAAAGACGUGGUAGCCUGCGAAAAGCUUCGGGGAGUCGGCAAACAGACUUUGAUCCGGAGAUCUCUGAAUGGGGGAACCCACCUAGGAUAACCUAGGUAUCUUGUACUGAAUCCAUAGGUGCAAGAGGCGAACCAGGGGAACUGAAACAUCUAAGUACCCUGAGGAAAAGAAAUCAACCGAGAUUCCCUUAGUAGUGGCGAGCGAACGGGGAUUAGCCCUUAAGCUUCAUUGAUUUUAGCGGAACGCUCUGGAAAGUGCGGCCAUAGUGGGUGAUAGCCCCGUACGCGAAAGGAUCUUUGAAGUGAAAUCGAGUAGGACGGAGCACGAGAAACUUUGUCUGAACAUGGGGGGACCAUCCUCCAAGGCUAAAUACUACUGACUGACCGAUAGUGAACCAGUACCGUGAGGGAAAGGCGAAAAGAACCCCGGAGAGGGGAGUGAAAUAGAACCUGAAACCGUAUGCGUACAAGCAGUGGGAGCCUACUUGUUAGGUGACUGCGUACCUUUUGUAUAAUGGGUCAGCGACUUAUAUUCAGUGGCAAGCUUAACCGUAUAGGGUAGGCGUAGCGAAAGCGAGUCUUAAUAGGGCGUUUAGUCGCUGGGUAUAGACCCGAAACCGGGCGAUCUAUCCAUGAGCAGGUUGAAGGUUAGGUAACACUGACUGGAGGACCGAACCCACUCCCGUUGAAAAGGUAGGGGAUGACUUGUGGAUCGGAGUGAAAGGCUAAUCAAGCUCGGAGAUAGCUGGUUCUCCUCGAAAGCUAUUUAGGUAGCGCCUCAUGUAUCACUCUGGGGGGUAGAGCACUGUUUCGGCUAGGGGGUCAUCCCGACUUACCAAACCGAUGCAAACUCCGAAUACCCAGAAGUGCCGAGCAUGGGAGACACACGGCGGGUGCUAACGUCCGUCGUGAAAAGGGAAACAACCCAGACCGCCAGCUAAGGUCCCAAAGUUGUGGUUAAGUGGUAAACGAUGUGGGAAGGCUUAGACAGCUAGGAGGUUGGCUUAGAAGCAGCCAUCCUUUAAAGAAAGCGUAAUAGCUCACUAGUCGAGUCGGCCUGCGCGGAAGAUGUAACGGGGCUCAAACCACACACCGAAGCUGCGGGUGUCACGUAAGUGACGCGGUAGAGGAGCGUUCUGUAAGCCUGUGAAGGUGAGUUGAGAAGCUUGCUGGAGGUAUCAGAAGUGCGAAUGCUGACAUGAGUAACGACAAUGGGUGUGAAAAACCCCCACGCCGAAAGACCAAGGGUUCCUGCGCAACGUUAAUCGACGCAGGGUUAGUCGGUUCCUAAGGCGAGGCUGAAAAGCGUAGUCGAUGGGAAACAGGUUAAUAUUCCUGUACUUCUGGUUACUGCGAUGGAGGGACGGAGAAGGCUAGGCCAGCUUGGCGUUGGUUGUCCAAGUUUAAGGUGGUAGGCUGAAAUCUUAGGUAAAUCCGGGGUUUCAAGGCCGAGAGCUGAUGACGAGUCGUCUUUUAGAUGACGAAGUGGUUGAUGCCAUGCUUCCAAGAAAAGCUUCUAAGCUUCAGGUAACCAGGAACCGUACCCCAAACCGACACAGGUGGUCGGGUAGAGAAUACCAAGGCGCUUGAGAGAACUCGGGUGAAGGAACUAGGCAAAAUGGCACCGUAACUUCGGGAGAAGGUGCGCCGGCUAGGGUGAAGGAUUUACUCCGUAAGCUCUGGCUGGUCGAAGAUACCAGGCCGCUGCGACUGUUUAUUAAAAACACAGCACUCUGCAAACACGAAAGUGGACGUAUAGGGUGUGACGCCUGCCCGGUGCCGGAAGGUUAAUUGAUGGGGUUAGCGCAAGCGAAGCUCUUGAUCGAAGCCCCGGUAAACGGCGGCCGUAACUAUAACGGUCCUAAGGUAGCGAAAUUCCUUGUCGGGUAAGUUCCGACCUGCACGAAUGGCGUAACGAUGGCGGCGCUGUCUCCACCCGAGACUCAGUGAAAUUGAAAUCGCUGUGAAGAUGCAGUGUAUCCGCGGCUAGACGGAAAGACCCCGUGAACCUUUACUGUAGCUUUGCACUGGACUUUGAGCCUGCUUGUGUAGGAUAGGUGGGAGGCUUUGAAGCGUGGACGCCAGUUCGCGUGGAGCCAUCCUUGAAAUACCACCCUGGCAUGCUUGAGGUUCUAACUCUGGUCCGUGAUCCGGAUCGAGGACAGUGUAUGGUGGGCAGUUUGACUGGGGCGGUCUCCUCCUAAAGAGUAACGGAGGAGUACGAAGGUGCGCUCAGACCGGUCGGAAAUCGGUCGCAGAGUAUAAAGGCAAAAGCGCGCUUGACUGCGAGACAGACACGUCGAGCAGGUACGAAAGUAGGUCUUAGUGAUCCGGUGGUUCUGUAUGGAAGGGCCAUCGCUCAACGGAUAAAAGGUACUCCGGGGAUAACAGGCUGAUACCGCCCAAGAGUUCAUAUCGACGGCGGUGUUUGGCACCUCGAUGUCGGCUCAUCACAUCCUGGGGCUGAAGCCGGUCCCAAGGGUAUGGCUGUUCGCCAUUUAAAGUGGUACGCGAGCUGGGUUUAGAACGUCGUGAGACAGUUCGGUCCCUAUCUGCCGUGGACGUUUGAGAUUUGAGAGGGGCUGCUCCUAGUACGAGAGGACCGGAGUGGACGAACCUCUGGUGUUCCGGUUGUCACGCCAGUGGCAUUGCCGGGUAGCUAUGUUCGGAAAAGAUAACCGCUGAAAGCAUCUAAGCGGGAAACUUGCCUCAAGAUGAGAUCUCACUGGGAACUUGAUUCCCCUGAAGGGCCGUCGAAGACUACGACGUUGAUAGGCUGGGUGUGUAAGCGUUGUGAGGCGUUGAGCUAACCAGUACUAAUUGCCCGUGAGGCUUGACCAU